UCUCUGAUAGGUUGGAGUAUGAUGGGUUAUAGGUCAUCUCUCCUCUCUCUCUGAUAGGUUAGAGUAUGAUGGGUUAUAGGUCAUCUCUCCUCUCUCUCUCUCUGAUAGGUUAGAGUAUGAUGGGUUAUAGGUCAUGUCUCCUCUCUCUCUGACAGGUUAGAGUAUGAUGGGUUA